AAGAUGCUGUCACUGCAUUACUGGCUCAUGUUUCCUUUGUUUCUGAUCACACUAACAGGUGUCAGCUGUGAAGAACUCACUCCACUCACGGAGGAAUUUUACAGUUUGGAAGGCAACACUGUUACUCUGUCCUACAAAUACUCCAGAGCUGCUCGUUAUGAUGAUCAUUUCUUCUGGUAUCAGCAAUAUCCAGGAAAACCACCAGAGUACCUCUUCUACAUCUCAGGGCUCAAUAAUUCAAGACCAGGGGAGACUCUAGAAUCAGCCAUGAGGUUCUCCACAAAACUGCUUGGAGAAAAUCGUCUGGAUCUUCAGAUCUCCUCUGCUGCAGUGACAGACUCUGCUGUGUACUACUGUGCUGUGAGGCCCACAGUG